UGUCCCGUAGGGUCGGCCAGCAUCUGUGAGAGGCUGGCGGCCGUCAGCAGACGGAGCAGCGAUUUGUCUUGGCCUCUCAUGUCUGCCCCAGGGGCCCGUCGCUCUGUCAGGAGGAGAGACGUGGCGUGCCAGUCAGUCUGUCUGAGCUUAUUUAUACACACACACACACGUAUCCUCAUUCAGACAUGCAGGCGCACAUACAAUAUACUGCACACACACACACACACACACACACACACACACACACACACACACACGUAUCCACGUAUCCUCAUUCAGACAUGCAGGCGCACAUACAAUAUACUGCACACACACACACACACACACAGCUGAAAUGUUCCAUGCCCUGAGUGGGCUGUCUCAUAUUAGAUACGCACUUGGGGUGGUGGUGCUUGUAACUUGUGAUGACAUGCAUGUCUGAGGCUCUUGGACAUCCACUCAGAGAACACUUUCCAACACCUCAAUCUCAGAGUAUACUUUCCAACACCUCAAACUCUUCAUGCAGAAUGGCUUUGCCUUGUAGUCAUAUCCCACCUAAUAUUAACAAGCAGAAGUCACUUGUUCUCACAGCACCGGGGUUUCUCCCAGCAUUGUAUUGUUUGUGUGGUAGAGAGGGCAGGAGUUGCAUAGUUUUUGCAUAGUUUCUAAUAUUCUUAUGUCUUUGAGAGGAGUAUAGUAUUAAAGUAGUAUUUGUUGGAGAUGGAGAGCAAGUAUUUUGAGAUGGAGUGUUGAACUAAAGUAGGUUUUUGCCUGUCUCAUGUCUCCCUCUCAUGUCUCUGUCCACAGAUCUUCUAUGACCUGGUUCGGCAAAUCAACAGGAAAACCCCAGUGCCCGGGAAGGCGCGCAAAAAGUCCAACUGCCAGUUGCUCUAAUACACAGCUGUCCCGCCGCUCUGAGCCAGGUCUGAUUUGCUGCUGUCUAGCAGUGCCAGCAUUCCGACGUUACUAAAAAAGCCCCUAACAUCUGAUGGACUCUCCUGUGUGCCGAUGCCCCUUUAACCAACCAACCAACCAACCAACCAACCAAGAACCAACGGACUCAAAAAACUACAGUUCCAUGUCAGUUUUUGCACAUAGAUAAACAGCAUCCCUUUCCAGUAUCGCGCGAGAGAUUUUUACUUAUAAAUAUAUAUAUUCUAACUGUAUGCAACUGAAAUGAGGAAAACAAAACAAUUAUGUGGAUACCUAAAUAAGUCAUGAAAUAGAUUAAAAAAAAAAAUGAAUUCAAACAAUCGAGAUCCAACAACAGUGUUACUGCUCAAUACAGACAAGCCGUUGCAAAUGAUUUAAGAGAACGCAAACGGUGUCUUAACCAGACUCUGCACGUUGCCAUGGCAAGUACAAUGAUGCGAUCGAUCUGAGCACCACUAUUUUAGCCAGAAAAGAGAAUAAGUCCAAAGAGCGCCUAUAUAGCCCAUGUCAUACCGCAAUCUUUGCUCCUUUGGUUUCUUUUUGUAACUUUUUUUGGUGUCGUUUUUUUGUUCCUCAACAUUAUUUUUUCCUCUCUUUCAUUUUUGUUAUUUUUUUUAUGUUAUUAGAUUUUGCCUACCAAGAUGCUAUGUUGCAACGCCUAUCAAUAUGAGUUUUAUCUUUAAAAAAAAAAACCCUGUGGAUACAAUACCGUGAUAUAUGUGUAAAAAGUAUAAAAAAUAUAAUAUGAUUUUUUUUUUUUCUGUCACCAUCAUAUUGUCUCUAGCCUAAAGAUGUUGCCUUCAGAUAUGUGUUUUUUUUUUCUUUCUUUCUGAUGAAUCCAACUAAAUAGAAGAAAAAAUCGAAUCCAUCUUUUACUUCAUGCCUGGGUUUCUUUGUCGUGUUUACGAAGAUGUUUGUACAGUGGGGGUUUUUCCACGAGGGAUCGGUCUCUGGGGACAUGGCAUUUCAAUGCAAACAGGGCCACAGACUCGGUCAUCGCAUGGUCCUUCCAGGGCGAGCCCUCAUUGGCUCUUGCAAACAAAUGGUCCAUUUCCCCCUAGUUUUAGACUCCCACAUCUACAACAGGAAGUAUAUAUUUUAAAACAAGGGUUUUUAAUAGUAAAUAAAAAAGAACAAAAUGUCAUCAUGUGACAUCAUUUCCCUUACUUCUGUUGCUAGAUUCUCACCCCCCCACCCCCCCCACCCCCCACCCAUUUGCCUGCUACUGCAGCUCUUGUAAACUAGGAUAUGAAAACCAAAUACUGGAUCCUGUCCGUAAAGAAAAAAAAAACUUGCCUGUUAGUGACUGUUUCACCCUGUGUAAUAUUUGGUUUGACCAGUUUUCCUGUUGGCUGAGUUUCUGUGUGGGGUUGUGUAGUGAUGGUGGGGGAGGGAAAGGGGGAGGACAUGUGUUUUCAGGGCACUGAGGGGAAUAAAAUAAUUAAAAAAAGAAAAGAAAAAAUAAACUAUCAUGGAGUAAUCAAACUCGGAGGGAAUUGAAGAGGGAACUGCGUCAUCUCAACUCCCCUCUCCUCUCUGUCCUGUUAAAACAAAAUGAUUUUGUUGCUUUUGUGUGCAUUAACAAAGGAAAACAAGAAGAAAAAGGAAGAACAAUUCCGAACAGCCUCUUUAACAUUGAGAUGGUGUUCAAAGGUCUUGUCUCUACAGAGCUCCAGUAUUUGAAAUGCAACAUCUGCUUCUGUGGGUGGGUGGGAGUCAGGGUGGCAGGGGGAGGGAUCUAAAGGGACGGGUAGCCAAAUGUAAACUAAAAAGCCUUAAUUAAAAGUGGUGCAAUUUUGUAUAACAGCAUCUGUAGUUCAAUAAAUUGGAUUGCCAUGCAAGGGCUUGCGAGAAAGCCGAUCCACCACUUGAAUGUUUUGUGUAUUGUUUCAACCGUUCUGCCAGUCCAAUAAAUAAAACAAAAAUGUUGGUUUAAUAAUG